rnacentral:rRNA from 1 species
GACGAACGCUGGCGGCGUGCUUAACACAUGCAAGUCGAACGGAAAGCCCGUGCUUUUGUUCGCUGCUGGAGUGGCGAACGCGUGUGUGUAACGCGUGAAACCUGCUCUUCACUUUCGGGUAACUUCAGGUAACUCGACCUAAUAUCGUAUAGGAUACCCUGUAGCAGGGUGGGGGUUGGAUAGUUUCGCCGGUUGGGGUUGGACUCGCGGCUUAUCAGCUAGUUGGUGGGGGAGGGGCUUACCAAGGCUUAGACGGGUAGCCGGCCUGUGAGGGUGUCCGGCCACAUUGGGACUGAGAUACGGCCCAGACUCCUACGGGAGGCAGCAGUGGGGAAUAUUGCACAAUGGGCGGAAGCCUGAUGCAGCAACGCCGCGUGCGGGAUGACGGCCUUCGGGUUGUAAACCGCUUUCGGCUGUGACGAAGCGUGAGUGACGGUACUUGGUGAAGAAGCACCGGCUAACUACGUG